rnacentral:rRNA from 1 species
GAUGAACGCUGGCGGCGUGCCUAAUACAUGCAAGUCGAGCGAACAGAUAAGGAGCUUGCUCCUUUGACGUUAGCGGCGGACGGGUGAGUAACACGUGGGUAACCUACCUAUAAGACUGGGAUAACUUCGGGAAACCGGAGCUAAUACCGGAUAACAUUUGGAACCGCAUGGUUCUAAAGUGAAAGAUGGUUUUGCUAUCACUUAUAGAUGGACCCGCGCCGUAUUAGCUAGUUGGUAAGGUAACGGCUUACCAAGGCGACGAUACGUAGCCGACCUGAGAGGGUGAUAGGCCACACGGGAACUGAAACGCGGUCAAGACUCCUAAGGGAGGCAGCAGUAGGGAAUCUUCCGCAACGGGGGAAAGCCUGACGGAGCAACGCCGCGUGAGUGAUGAAGGGGUUCGGCUCGUAAAACUCUGUUAUUAGGGAAGAACAAAUGUGUAAGUAACUGUGCACGUCUUGACGGUACCUAAUCAGAAAGCCACGGCUAACUACGUG